rnacentral:lncRNA from 1 species
GAGACAACGUGGCUGUUCUUAAUCAGCUUUUCCCAGUGGGAGGAAGUCCUGUUUCCUUUGGAUUCCAGCUCUCCAUCAUUGUUCACCUGUAAGAUGAAGAACAUCAAAACUUGUCCUAAUUCUGCUCUCCUAGCAAUUCAUGAAUGAUUCCACUGAAGAUAUUGAAUAAUAUUGAAGAAAAAUAUGGAAGAUCAUGGGACAUUCUUAGUUUAAACAUCUUGUCUGAUAAUGAAGUGAAAACUGAUAAAUCUUUCCUCUUCCUAAGUGGCCCCCUAGAACUGAGUGUGGGGUUGACCAGAACUCUCUGCUAUCUCUGCAACUUAUCUGUAAGUCUAAAACUAUUCUAUUUUUUUAAAGUGGCCUCUACAUAACCACUGACAAAUGUUUAUUCAAUCUUCCUACAAGCACCACUUCAGAGGAAAGAAAUUUCAUUCCAUGUUUUAACACCUAAAAUUCUAAAUUCUUCUUAAUUUUCAGCCCAAAUAUGCUUUAUACAAAGCUAUCCUUCCAAGGUCCCAGAGAGGUUUCUGCAAAGCUAUGUGGAAUAAGUUUACUUCCUUUUCCAAAGGUUCUUUUUAUUAUAAUUUUAUCCUUAGAUUUUUCUCCAAAGUAAAUCUCUGCCUCAACCCCCUACUUGCCCAUCUCUGGUUUCACAUCCAGUUGCCAGUGGACCCUCUUUAAACUAGGCCCCCCUACUAGACAGAGCACUCUGGUGUGGUUUGACCUUGUUGGUUUCAGGCAUUCCUCUGUGGUAGUAAAGGCCAUACACGCACAUGGCCCUUUUCAGCAAUAGCCUGUGCUGUUUGUUGGCUCAUACUGCGCUUGUGGAAAUGAAAUCCCCUACAUCUUCCCCGUAUGACCUGGGGUAGAGUCAGCUUUCCUCUCCACAUUCUAACCAAGCUAUACUCACAGAGUUUAUUUUUUAAGCCAAGCAUAGAACUUUACUGGUAGAGUUCAUCUUGUAAGUUUCUCCUACCUAUCAACACUGCAACAGAAUUGAAGAAUACUAGGAAUAAGAAAUUCUGGGUGUAGGGAUCCCUGGGUGGCUCAGCAGUUUAGCACCUGCCUUCGGCCCUGGGUGUGUUCCCAGAGUCCCAGGAUCGAGUCCCACAUCGGGCUCCCUGCAGGGAGCCUGCUUCUCCCUCUGCCUGUGCCUCUGCCUCUCUGUCUCUCUGUGUCUCUCAUGAAUAAAUAAANNNNNNNCCCCCCCCCUCUCCGUGUC